GAGAACAAAUUUGAAAGCCAGUUCCACUUGAAAGCCAGUCAUGGAACACUGGUUGUGAGGUUUGCUCUGGAAGGAUUCAUCAUAUGUUGAUUCCAAACAACAUUAUUUUUUUCUACAUUUUAACGUCUCUGAAAUUAGGAUGCAUUUAAUAACCAAUAACAUCUUAAAAGUGCUCUCAGCCAGGCGGCAGGCAUGAUAUCACUAACAUUUUCUACCUUUGUUCAAAUUCAGACUAACGAUCUUCUGUUGGUCCCUUCUGGUAGGGCCGAGGAGACCCCAGCAUCACGAAUUAAUUUGGGAUUACAGCCAAGCAAGUUUAAUGUUUCGAAAUAUCAUACACAAUGCAGCUGAGCGCCAAUUUUAUUCCCUGGGUUAGUACUAAUCAGCAAAAUGUACGUAAGGGCCUCAAGAACAGACUGCCCUGAACGUUCCUGUGUGUUGCUCCAGGUACCACCUACUCAUCCUCCAAUAUCCAGCUGGCACCUCCUCUGGGAAGACUUCCUGGAUAUUUCAGGUUGAUUUAGCAGCAUGCUAUGUGUAUCACACUGAAAUGGCCUACAUCCAGAAGCUGACACAUGGUAAAGAAUUAAAAGUUUCUUGAAAGAAUGCAUUAAUGCAACUUAUUUUCUGCUUCUAUUGUUUUUCUUGUAGUAUACCAACUAGGACACUUUUUGAAGAAACUGCAAUUCUUCUCAGCAUUCAAUUCUGUCCAGUGGCAAAGGUGAUCAGGAGAUUCAAAGUAGUAAAAAUAAUCCCCAAAGUAGUGCUACCACUAGGCCCUGGAAACCAACCUCACAUACUAAAGACAGACUGAAGAUCUGCAUUGAGCUAAGCCCUAAUUAUGUUCAGUGUUCUUAACUUUGAAUCUAGACUCCCAGGCUUUGUACUAUGCCGUAACCAAUUGGGCAACUAAAUGAUGACCGGUACAGCACAGCUGCUAAGAUCACAGACUAAUCCAAACUGCCCGGGUCUGUACCUUGCUUCAGCCACUGUCUAGCUGUGUGUCUUGGGCAAGUUAGUUAAUCCCUUUAUGCCUCAGUUUGCUUAUCUGUAAGAUGGGAACAAUAUUAACAGUACUGACCUCAUAGAAUAAAUGAUUUCACAUACGUGAAUGGUUACAACAGUGCUUUGCACAAAUUAAGUACUACUUAACCAGCUAUUUUUUGUAUUUCUUCUAUUAACUGGCAAACACAGAGAGAGAGGAAUAUCUAAGAAGCAAAUCAGAGGUAAUUUCAGGGUGUCUCUUUGCUGUGUGGAGACACUCCUGGCUCUCCUAGUGCCCACUUAAUUAAUUCACAGAUCAGAAUUGCAAGACCUAUGUCUAAUAUUGCCAGGGGUCUGCAGAAGAGACAUUGUCCUCCUUCCAGCUGGCUCCUCCAACACAGCCAAAGCAACAUGGGUUGUUCAUUCCUUACACAUCAACUAUAGCUGUGGGAACAAUGAGUUCUGCCUUUUUUUCCCUGUCCACUGCUUUCAUAUUUAAGGUUGCUCCUGUGUCAGUAGUGAUUAUCUCAGAAGAUCUCCCUGUAUAUAAGGCCCCAUGAACAAGAAAAUUUUGUAUCAAUUAACAAGAGACAAGCUUAGGGGAAGAAGUGCUUCCUGAACAUCACCUGCAGACUAGACUAUAGCACUCUUGUGGGAUCCCAACAAAUACGUCGUCCACCCCGCUCCCAACUAUUUAAAGAAUAUUUGAAAGCACUCGAAUUCUUUGGCAUAAACACUCUUUGAAAUGCAAGUUAUGUCGAAUCCUAGAAUUUUACUUCUGGAAGAUGUGGUGGGAGAUUAUAUAAAAUGGGGAAUCAGUGACCCAGCACCAUGGCUUCCCAGCUCCUCUGCACGCCCCCCCAUAUUUCCCAACCCUUGCAUUUGAAAUUUAAAAUGUUCUUUAAAAAAUUAAAGGCUUUCAGUGUUGAGUGAUAGUCACGCACUGCAUAAGGAUAUUUCAGUCAACAAUGGACCAAAUAUAUGACAGUAGUCGCGUAAGAUUAUAAUGAAGCUGAAAAAUUCCUACAGCCUAAUGAUGUCACAGCUGUCAUGUCAUAGCAUUUUUUUUAAAUAUAGUGUAGCCUAAGUUUAUAAUAUUUAUAAAGUCUACAAUAGUGUAACGUCCUAGGCCUUCACAUUCACUCACCACUCACUGACUCACCCAGAGCAACUUCUAGUCCCACAAGCUCCAUGCA
rnacentral:lncRNA from 1 species